UACGUAGGGGGCGAGCGUUGUCCGGAUUUAUUGGGCGUAAAGCGCGCGUAGGCGGUGCGGCAAGUCGGCCGUGAAAUCUCCAGGCUCAACCUGGAGGGGUCGGGCGAGACUGCCGGGCUAGAGGCAGGCAGAGGGCGGUGGAAUUCCGGGUGUAGUGGUGGAAUGCGUAGAGAUCCGGAGGAACACCAGUGGCGAAGGCGGCCGCCUGGGCCUGUCCUGACGCUGAGGCGCGAAAGCGUGGGGAGCGAUCCGG
rnacentral:rRNA from 1 species